CCUACGGGAGGCAGCAGUGAGGAAUAUUGGUCAAUGGGCGCGAGCCUGAACCAGCCACGUAGCGUGAGGGAUGACUGCCCUCCGGGUUGUAAACUUCUUUUAUAAAGGAAUAAAGUGAGGCACGUGUGCCUUUUUGUAUGUACUUUCUGAAUAAGGAUCGGCUCACUCCGUGGCAGCAGCCGAGGUAAUACGGAGGUGCCGAGCGUUAUCCGGAUUUAUUGGGUUUAAAGGGAGCGUAGAUGGGUUGUUAAGUCAGUUGUGAAAGUUUGCGGCUCAACCGGAAAAUUGCAAUUGAUACUGGCAGUCUUGAGUACAGUUGAGGUAGGCGGAAUUCGUGGUGUAGCGGUGAAAUGCGUAGAUAUCACGAAGAACUCCGAUUGCGAAGGCAGCUUACUAAACUGCCACUGACAUUGAGGCUCGAAAGUGUGGGUAUCAAACAGGAUUAGAUACCCCAGUAGUC
rnacentral:rRNA from 1 species